AGUGAACGCUGGCGGUAGGCCUAACACAUGCCAGUCGAACGGCAGCACAGUAAGAGCUUGCUCUUACGGGUGGCGAGUGGCGGACGGGUGAGGAAUACAUCGGAAUCUACUUUUUCGUGGGGGAUAACGUAGGGAAACUUACGCUAAUACCGCAUACGACCUACGGGUGAAAGCAGGGGAUCUUCGGACCUUGCGCGAUUGAAUGAGCCGAUGUCGGAUUAGCUAGUUGGCGGGGUAAAGGCCCACCAAGGCGACGAUCCGUAGCUGGUCUGAGAGGAUGAUCAGCCACACUGGAACUGAGACACGGUCCAGACUCCUACGGGAGGCAGCAGUGGGGAAUAUUGGACAAUGGGCGCAAGCCUGAUCCAGCCAUACCGCGUGGGUGAAGAAGGCCUUCGGGUUGUAAAGCCCUUUUGUUGGGAAAGAAGAGCAGCAGGUUAAUACCCCGCUGUUCUGACGGUACCCAAAGAAUAAGCACCGGCUAACUUCGUG
rnacentral:rRNA from 1 species